GAUGAACGCUAGCGACAGGCUUAACACAUGCAAGUCGAGGGGCAGCAUAGAAGUAGCAAUACUUUGGUGGCGACCGGCGCACGGGUGAGUAACGCGUAUGCAACCUACCUAUCAGAGGGGUAUAACCCGGCGAAAGUCGGACUAAUACCGCAUAAAACAGGGGCACCGCAUGGAGAUAUUUGUUAAAGAAAUUCGCUAAUAGAUGGGCAUGCGUUCCAUUAGGUAGUUGGUUAGGUAACGGCUCACCAAGCCGACGAUGGAUAGGGGAACUGAGAGGUUGGUCCCCCAAACUGGUACUGAGACACGGACCAGACUCCUACGGGAGGCAGCAGUGAGGAAUAUUGGUCAAUGGGCGGGAGCCUGAACCAGCCAAGUCGCGUGAAGGAAGAAGGAUCUAUGGUUCGUAAACUUCUUUUGCAGGGGAAUAAAGUGCAGGACGUGUCCUGUUUUGUAUGUACCCUGAGAAUAAGGAUCGGCUAACUCCGUGCCAGCAGCCGCAGUAACAC
rnacentral:rRNA from 1 species